GGGGGAUUAAUUCAAUGGUAGAAUUGCUGUUUUACACACAGAUCGUUAGAGGUUCGAGU
rnacentral:tRNA from 1 species